UUUUUAUAGUUGAAAGUACAACAGGGGUUUUUCGUGCCCCAGGUCUUGGUCUAAAGCCCAAGUGAGAAUA
rnacentral:tRNA from 1 species